rnacentral:tRNA from 1 species
GCAUUAGUGGUUCACUAGUAAAACUCUUGCCUUCCAUGCUGGAGACCUUGGUUUGAUUCCUGGCGAAUGCA